rnacentral:misc_RNA from 1 species
UGUGAUAUAGUUAUCUCACUCAGGAU